UUAAAAUAAAAAUUGAAAAUUGAUGGUCCAAACGUAAUUAAAAAAAAAUGUCACGUAAGACCGCCUAGUCAGCAGUCCUGACGAACCGGAGUGCGCCGCAUGGUAAGGUACGCUUACUCAGUGCCACGCGGGAGUUCACAUUGGCAAUCCGCGUGCCCGCAAUCGGACGAUCCAGAUGCGUUCUUGUGCGCGUGGACGGUCCGGAUCCGUUUUCUCUUCAGGUGCGAUCAGACAGUCGCGGUUAAACACGAUGAAUGGUUCAUAUUCAUUUUUUCUUUAAACGCGAUCGUAUGGUCAAGAUCAAAUCGCGAUAAACGGUUCAGAGUCAUUUUUUCUUUUAACGCGAUCGGAUGGUCGAGAUCAAACGCGAUUAACGGUCUAAAUUUAAAGUAGACGAAUAUAAAUAUCUCACUUCACUCCGAACCCAAACCUUAGCCGCCAGCCUCCUGUCAGAGAAGAAGAACCAGUCACCAGAUAAGGGAGUCUACCGUUGCUCGCCGCCGCACUGGAGACAACUCCGACUGUCAAAAAGGUUGACCAAAGAAAAAUACUCAGUCGCGAAGGUGAGUCGGUGGAGCCGCCGCAUUGGAAAAAUUUUUUUUCGAUUUUUUUGGGCCAACCAAUGCCCCCUAACGUGUUUUUUCGCAGGGAUGGAUAUAAAACCAGUCGAAACCUGCCAAAAAUGGUCAGAUCGAGGCAAAUUGUUGCCGCGGGCGACGGUGUCGUCGUGUCAGAAUUUCAAAAUUGACUAGAAAAGAUUUUAACAUCGAUUUUGAAUUUUUUGGGGUAUUUUUAGAUACGUAAAACGUGUUUUAAUCUCUGCAUUAAAAUUCAGGAAACUCGAAAAGCACUAGUAGGCGCAGUAGAAAGUUCAGUAUUUCGAACACCGAUUCGGAUUAAGAAGACUAAGAUCCAGAUCCCGAUCAAAAGAGUUGUGAAUAGUUCACCACCCGGACUCCUUCAAAAACUAAUGAAGGUCGUCAUAAGAUGCUCAGUUGUUUACUUUUCGUUUAUUUCUUUGAUUUUCGUUUGUUUUUGUAGAAGAGACUUUUCCGUAACCCUAUUGGGUGUUUAAAACUAUUGUGUAAGAAAUGUAAACUCUAACUCUAUUAUUCCGCUUCCGCAUUUAAUUUAUGAUUUUAUUUUCUUUUAAGUUCCGGGUCGUUACAGUUGGUAUCAGAGUCGCGUUCAUUGGAACCAUUUCUUACCCAAAAAUCUUAGGAAACACAAAAAAUGAAUUAUUAUUCAACUAGUCCUUGUAAA